AAUACUUCCUUAACCCGAUCGUACUCAGACUAGGAAGUAGGGAAUAUCUGUUAGGAGUAAUUUAGAAUAGACUGAUGAUGUAUGAAGAUUAAAGCCCGUUAUGACCCAUCGGAUCUACAUCAGUGCCUCUCAAACGGCCUAAUUAUUGUGGUUUGACCGAUCCUUGAUCGACAAAUGUCUAUCUUGACUCUCGAUCAGAAGCUAUUCAGCCUGACCCCUCAUCGGCAUAUUCUUUAUUCGACUUCUGAUUUAAAAGAGCUAGUCGAAGUGCACAUCUUAAGCAGUACAGUCACAUGAUUGAUUAUGACUCAUCUGACCCUUAAUCGGCAUGUGUCUGGUUCGACCUCUAUUCAGCCAGUCUUUAAUCCGACCUCUAGUUGGAUGGUUCUUUGUUCGAAUCCUAGACGAAAAAAAUUUGGUCUGACUCUUGGUCGGAGAACUAGCUAGUCAAUCUCCAGUCACAUCCGAUUCCUACUCGAUUUGCAUAUUGAAAUAAUUUCUGGUCAGCAUAAUAACUGCGAGUCAGCUAGUCUUCAAAUCAAUCCAUCUAAUCGAGCUUUGAUCGGAAAACUAUCAGUUCCAACUCCUAAUCGGUCAGCAACUAGCUCCGAGCCCUAGUCGACAUAAUACUCUCUGAUCUCUCAUUGGAAACAGAUUGAUCAGGCUCAGGUUCAAAAGGUAAGCACUAGCUAACCACAGCUAUCAAUCCUAUCUGGAUGCAAACCGUCUGAUCCUGAGAAUUUUAUAGAUGCAACCGUUUGACCGUGAAAAUCACAACCAAAUAACCGCAUCAGAUUCAACUAACCUGUCCUCCAAGAAUAGUUACAUAGCCAUCUCCUCUAUAAAUACUCAAAUUCCAAAGAUUUAGAUAAAUAAUCCAUCUCAGAGAGCUAAAAACUCUACUUCUUUGUUUGCGUGUUCUAAUUUGAGCAUCGAAGGAUCAUCAUCGGAGAACAAUC
rnacentral:lncRNA from 1 species